CACAAGCGGUGGAGCAUGUGGUUUAAUUCGAUGAUACGCGAGGAACCUUACCAGGGCUUAAAAGCAGAACGACCGGCGUGGAAACAUGCCUUUCUUCGGACGGACUGCAAGGUGCUGCAUGGUCGUCGUCAGCUCGUGCCGUGAGGUGUCGGGUUAAGUCCCAUAACGAGCGCAACCCCUAUCUUUAGUUGCCAGCGGAUAAUGCCGGGGACUCUAGAGAAACUGCCAGCGUAAGCUGUGAGGAAGGUGGGGAUGACGUCAGAUCAUCACGGCCCUUACGUCCUGGGCUACACACGUGCUACAAUGGCAAGGACAAUGAGCUGCCAACCCGCGAGGGUGAGCAAAUCUUCAAACCUUGUCUCAGUUCGGAUCGGAGUCUGCAACUCGACUCCGUGAAGUUGGAAUCGCUAGUAAUCGCGUAUCAGCCAUGACGCGGUGAAUACGUUCCCGGGCCUUGUACACACCGCCCGUCAAACCAUGGAAGUUGGGGGUGCCUGAAGUACGUUACCGCAAGGAGCGUCCUAGGGUAAAACUGGUGACUGGGGUUAAGUCGUAACAAGGUAGCC
rnacentral:rRNA from 1 species